UACGGAGGGUGCAAGCAUUGAUCGGAAUUACUGGGCGUAAAGGGCGCGUAGGCGGCGGAGAAAGUCAGAUGUGAAAUUCCUGGGCUCAACCUAGGAGCUGCAUUUGAAACUUCUUUGCUUGAGGAUGGUUAGGGAAAACGGAAUUCCACGUGUAGCGGUGAAAUGCGUAGAUAUGUGGAAGAACACCAGUGGUGAAGACGGUUUUCUGGGCCAAACCUGACGCUGAGGCGCGAAAGCUAGGGGAGCAAACAGG
rnacentral:rRNA from 1 species